AGGCUUCAUGCCCAACAUGGGGCUUGAACUCAUGACCCUGAGAUGUGAGUCACACGCUCUACCGACUGAGCCACUCAGAACAAAAAGUUCAGAGAAAGACAAGUUGCUGGCAUUGGCUCAACACAUCAAGAAUGUCAGGGUCUAGGUUUCUUGGACUUUUCCUCGUUGAUAAAACAUAGCUGCUACAUCUCCAGUCCUCUCAUCUGUGAUCCAGGGAGGAAGGCCAGGUACAGGAUGGGCAGAAAAAUGAUGUAUCUCCUACAGCCUCUUCAUUCUUCAAAAUGAACAUGAGAAUCAAUACACCAAUCAAGAACAAAGGUUCUUGGACAGACUUGCAUCUAAAUUCCAACUCUACUAUUAAAAACCAUGGUACUUUAACCUAAAUGUAAGACAGGAAGCCAUCAAAAUCCUCGAGGAGAAAGCAGGCAAAAACCUCUUUGAUCUUGGCCGCAGCAACUUCUUACUCAACACGUCUCCAGAGGCAAGAGAAACAAAAGCAAAAAUGAACUAUUGGGACCUUACCAAAAUAGAGCUUCUGCACAGCAAAGGAAACAAUCAGCAAAACUAAAAGGCAACCGAUGGAAUGGUAGAGAUAUUUGCAAAUGACCUAUCAGAUAAAGGGUUAAUAUCCAAAAUCUACAGAGAACUUAUCAAACUCAACACACAAAAAACAAAUAAUCCAGUCAAGAAAUGGGCAGAAAUGGACAUCAAUAGACACUUCUCCAAAGAACACAUCCAGAUGGCCAACCAACACAUGAAAAAAUGCUCCACAUCACUCAUCAUCAGGGAAAUACAAAUCAAAACCACAAUGAGAUAUCACCUCAUACCUGUCAGAAUGGCUAACAUUAACAACUCAGGCAACAACAGAUGCUGGUAAAGAUGUGGAGAAAGACUAUCUCUUUUGCACUGCUGGUGGGAAUGCAAAUAGGUGCAGCCACUGUGGCAAACAGUAUAGAGGUUCCUCAAAAAACUAAAAACAGAACUACCCUACGACCCAGCAAUUGCACUACUAGGUAUUUAUCCAAGGGAUACAGGUAUGUUGUUUUGAAGGGACACAUGCACCCCAAUGAUAGCAGCACUAUCAACAAUAGCCAAAGUAUGGAAAGACACCAAAUGUCCAUUGAUGGAUGAAUGGAUAAAGAAGAUGUGGUAUAUAUAUACAAUGGAGUAUUACUCAGCAAUCAAAAAGAAUGAAAUCUUGCCAUUUGCAACUACGUGGAUGGAACUAGAGGGUAUUCUGCUAAGCGAAAUUAGAGAAAGACAAAUAUCAUAUGACCUUACUUAUAUGAGGACUUUAAGACCUAUAACACAUGAACACAAGGGAAGGGAAGCAAAAAGAAUAUAAAAACAGGGAGGGAGACAAAACAUAAGAGACACUUAAAUAUGGAGAAUAGAGGGUUACUGGAGGGGUUGUGGGAGGGGGAUGGCCUAAUGGGUAAGGGGCAUUGCCUAAUGGGUAAGGGGCAUUAAGGAAUCUACUCCUGAAAUCACUGUUGCACUAUUUGCUAAAUUGAAUGUAAAUUAAAAAACAAACAACAAAAAACAAACAAAAAAACCCAUGCGACUUUAAAAUUGUUUAAAAACUAAGACCUAACACGUUUCUUUCUGAAAACAGCAAACACUGUCUGCUACAUAGAAUUGAUCUGAAGGUUAAAAGAAGUAACAUGUAAAGGGCUUAGCAUAGAGCCUCACAGAUUAAGCACUCUGGUAUUUGACAAAUAAUAGUACUGUCCACUAAAAAAAUUCCUUUGUGACAACUGCAUUAGAUCUAUAAAACAGUAAGAAAAAUCUGGCACAGAAUUAGCAUUAAGUAUGUAUCAGUUGAUACACUAUCAAUAAAGAGGUUAUUUAAAAUUCACCACGAUAGGGGCACCUGGCUGGCUCAGUCAAUAAAGCAUGCGACUCUUUAUCUCAGGGUUAAUUUGAGCCCUAUGUUGGGUGUAGGGAUUACUUAAAAAUAAAAUCUUAAAAAAGUCAUCAGGACAAUUGCAUUAAACUUAUAAAUUAGGGAAUUCGCAUCUUUACACUGGCUUUCCUACCCUGAAAUAUGGCACUAGUUUUGGUUUUGACUCAGGAAUUUUCUAAAAAACUAGAAUGGAAUGUUGUCCCCGUUCCCAAGCCCUUAAAGGGGAAAACGUUCUAGAAAACAUGGAAAAAUUUUAAAGACAAAGUGGUCGUAGUACCUCAUGGGUUCUACUUGUCUUACACAUCACACUAUAAUUUCUGUAGUUCAUCAAAUAUAAAACAUCUAUUUUUAGUUGCACUUGUUAUUUUACAAGGAAAAAAAAAAAACUUGAUUUACGUUUGAUACCAAACCUGAAUUUACACCAUGUAAGAAACAUUUCAAUUUCAGAAAUAGUAAAACACACCUAAUGAUACACAAAAUACUUUGGUAUAAUCUUAACAAAAUGCUCUAAGUAUGGUCAAUCCUCAUUAUUCACGGGUUCUGUAUUGGGGAAGUCACUUGCUAAAAUUUAUUUGUAACUCCAAAAUUAAUACUUAUGGUGCUUUCCUGGUCAUGCAUGAACAUGCAUAGAGCAGCAAAACAUUUUGUCACCU